rnacentral:rRNA from 1 species
UAGGGAAUCUUCGGCAAUGGACGAAAGUCUGAUCGAGCAACGCCGCGUGAGUGAAGAAGGUUUUCGGAUCGUAAAACUCUGUUGUUAGAGAAGAACAAGGACGUUAGUAACUGAACGUCCCCUGACGGUAUCUAACCAGAAAGCCACGGCUAACUACGUGCCAGCAGCCGCGGUAAUACGUAGGUGGCAAGCGUUGUCCGGAGUUAUUGGGCGUAAAGCGAGCGCAGGCGGUUUCUUAAGUCUGAUGUGAAAGCCCCCGGCUCAACCGGGGAGGGUCAUUGGAAACUGGGAGACUUGAGUGCAGAAGAGGAGAGUGGAAUUCCAUGUGUAGCGGUGAAAUGCGUAGAUAUAUGGAGGAACACCAGUGGCGAAGGCGGCUCUCUGGUCUGUAACUGACGCUGAGGCUCGAAAGCGUGGGGAGCAAACAGG